AUAACUAAGAAUUUAAAAUUAAAUCCAACGGAGAAAGUCAUUAGACUCAGUCAAUUGUCUGAUAUUGAACUCAAAAUCUUAAAUUAAUCCAUUAAGUAAAAAGGAAAAAGAAAAAAAAAUUCUUAUAGCAACAUCUACUCUCGACAACUUUCAAUUCACUCGUGGAUCCAAGUAAUCCGGCAGCUCGCUUCUCAAAGGUUUAUAAAAUUUCUCAUUAGUGUACAGAAAGCUUCAAAACAGAUCCACAAGAUCGUUCCCAGAGAAAUAUGAACAAUAUCUAACAGUGAAAAAUGAACUAGGCCAGUGCACUUUGGUGAUUAUA
rnacentral:lncRNA from 1 species